rnacentral:sRNA from 1 species
CGAGCGAUCAUAAGGGAGCUGACUGCAAAUCUGCCGUCAUCGACUUCAAGGUUCGAAUCGAGCAAUAGUGAGAGAACGUUGCCGCAGGCAACGGCCCGAAGGGUGAGGAGCUUUAGCUCCGAAUAAUCCUUACCGCUAUAGAA